rnacentral:rRNA from 1 species
CGAAAGCCUGACGGAGCAACGCCGCGUGAGGGAUGAAGGCCUCUGGGCUGUAAACCUCUUUUAUCAAGGAAGAAGAUCUGACGGUACUUGAUGAAUAAGCCACGGCUAAUUCCGUGCCAGCAGCCGCGGUAAUACGGGAGUGGCAAGCGUUAUCCGGAAUUAUUGGGCGUAAAGCGUCCGCAGGCGGUCUUGUAAGUCUGUCGUUAAAACGUGGAGCUUAACUCCAUUUCGGCGGUGGAAACUACAAGACUAGAGUGUGGUAGGGGCAGAGGGAAUUCCCGGUGUAGCGGUGAAAUGCGUAGAUAUCGGGAAGAACACCAGUGGCGAAAGCGCUCUGCUGGGCCAUAACUGACGCUCAUGGACGAAAGCCAGGGGAGCGAAAG